UACGGGGGAGCAAGCGUUGUUCGGAUUACUGGCGUAAAGGGCGCGUAGGCGGUCAGCACAAGUCAGUUGUGAAAUCUCCGGGCUUAACUCGGAAAGGUCAACUGAUACUGUGCGACUAGAGUGCGGAAGGGGCAACUGGAAUUCUCGGUGUAGCGGUGAAAUGCGUAGAUAUCGAGAGGAACACCUGCGGCGAAGGCGGGUGCUGGGCCGACACUGACGCUGAUGCGCGAAAGCCAGGGAGCGAACGGG
rnacentral:rRNA from 1 species